rnacentral:rRNA from 1 species
AAGAGUUUGAUCAUGGCUCAGGAUGAACGCUGGCGGCGUGCCUAAUACAUGCAAGUCGAGCGAACCACUUCGGUGGUGAGCGGCGAACGGGUGAGUACACGUAGGUGAUCUGCCCAUCAGACGGGGACAACGAUUUGGAAACGAUCGCUAAUACCGGAUAGGACGAAAGUUUAAAGGUGCUUCUGGCACCGCUGAUGGAUGAGCCUGCGGCGCAUUAGCUAGUUGGUAGGGUAAAGGCCUACCAAGGCGACGAUGCGUAGCCGACCUGAGAGGGUGAACGGCCACACUGGGACUGAGACACGGCCCAGACUCCUACGGGAGGCAGCAGUAGGGAAUCUUCGGCAAUGGGCGAAAGCCUGACCGAGCAACGCCGCGUGAAUGAUGAAGGCCUUCGGGUUGUAAAAUUCUGUUAUAAGGGAAGAACGACUUUAGUAGGAAAUGGCUAGAGUGUGACGGUACCUUAUGAGAAAGCCACGGCUAACUACGUG